GAUGAACGCUGGCGGCGUGCCUAAUACAUGCAAGUCGAGCGAACGGACGAGAAGCUUGCUUCUCUGAUGUUAGCGGCGGACGGGUGAGUAACACGUGUAUAACCUACCUAUAAGACUGGGAUAACUUCGUGAAACCGGAGCUAAUACCGGAUGAUAUUUUUAACCGCAUGGUUCAAAAGUGAAAGACGGUCGUGCUGUCACUUAUAGAUGGAUCCGCGCUGCAUUAGCUAGUUGGUAAGGUAACGGCUUACCAAGGCAACGAUGCAUAGCCGACCUGAGAGGGUGAUCGGCCACACUGGAACUGAGACACGGUCCAGACUCCUACGGGAGGCAGCAGUAGGGAAUCUUCCGCAAUGGGCGAAAGCCUGACGGAGCAACGCCGCGUGAGUGAUGAAGGUCUUCGGAUCGUAAAACUCUGUUAUUAGGGAAGAACAUAUGUGUAAGUAACUGUGCACAUCUUGACGGUACCUAAUCAGAAAGCCACGGCUAACUACGUG
rnacentral:rRNA from 1 species